GGGAGCGGAAGGGGGCUGGUGUCCCUCCCGGACUUCAAAUCCGGCGCCGGGUGCUCAAACCAUCCUGGGUGGGUUCGAUUCCCACACGUUCCCGCCA
rnacentral:tRNA from 3 species